GCGGAGCGAAAUCAAGUAGCGAAGCGUGUCAGCCAUGUGCCGAGAAAAGCCGCUAUAGCGUAUAUGGUACCCGUACCGUAAACCGACACAGGUGGAUGAGGAGAGAAUCCUAAGGCCGACGGAAGAAGCAUUGUUAAGGAACUCGGCAAAAUGACCCCGUAACUUCGGGAGAAGGGGUGCCACUGAGAAGUGGUCGCAGAGAAUAGGCUCAAGCAACUGUUUAGCAAAAACACAGGUCUAUGCAAAACCGAAAGGUGAAGUAUAUGGGCUGACGCCUGCCCGGUGCUGGAAGGUUAAGAGGAGAGGUUAGCGCAAGCGAAGCUUUGAAUUUAAGCCCCAGUAAACGGCGGCCGUAACUAUAACGGUCCUAAGGUAGCGAAAUUCCUUGUCGGGUAAGUUCCGACCCGCACGAAAGGCGUAAUGAUUUGAGCACUGUCUCGACAAUGCAUCCGGUGAAAUUGAAGUACCAGUGAAGAUGCUGGUUACCUGCGCCAGGACGGAAAGACCCCAUGGAGCUUUACUCUAGCUUGAUACUGGGAUUCGAUGCUGUAUGUACAGGAUAGGUGGGAGACUAAGAAAU
rnacentral:rRNA from 1 species